UACAGAGGGGGCAAGCGUUAUUCGGAAUUAUUGGGCGUAAAGGGCGCGUAGGCGGCCUGGCAAGUGGAAGGUGAAAUCCCUCGGCUUAACCGAGGAACUGCCCUCCAAACUGCUUGGCUUGAGACCGGGAGAGGUGAGUGGAAUUCCCAGUGUAGCGGUGAAAUGCGUAGAUAUUGGGAGGAACACCAGUGGCGAAGGCGGCUCACUGGACCGGUACUGACGCUGGGGCGCGAAAGCGUGGGGAGCAAACGGG
rnacentral:rRNA from 1 species